UACAGGGGGUGCAAACGUUGCUCGGAAUCAUUGGGCGUAAAGCGCACGUAGGCGGUUCGUUAUGUCGGAUGUGAAAGCCCUUGGCUUAACCGAGGAAGUGCAUCCGAAACUGGCGAGCUAGAGUACGAAAGAGGGUCGCGGAAUUCCCGGUGUAGAGGUGAAAUUCGUAGAUAUCGGGAGGAACACCGGUGGCGAAGGCGGCGACCUGGUCCUUGACUGACGCUGAGGCGCGAAAGCGUGGGGAGCAAACAGG
rnacentral:rRNA from 1 species